CCUACGGGUGGCUGCAGUGGGGAAUAUUGGACAAUGGGGGGAACCCUGAUCCAGCCAUGCCGCGUGUGUGAAGAAGGCCCUCGGGUUGUAAAGCACUUUCAGUGAGGAAGAACGCCUGGUGGUUAAUACCCAUCAGGAAAGACAUCACUCACAGAAGAAGCACCGGCUAACUCCGUGCCAGCAGCCGCGGUAAUACGGAGGGUGCGAGCGUUAAUCGGAAUUACUGGGCGUAAAGCGCGCGUAGGUGGCUUGAUAAGCCGGUUGUGAAAGCCCCGGGCUCAACCUGGGAACGGCAUCCGGAACUGUCAAGCUAGAGUGCAGGAGAGGAAGGUAGAAUUCGCGGUGUAGCGGUGAAAUGCGUAGAGAUCGGGAGGAAUACCAGUGGCGAAGGCGGCCUUCUGGACUGACACUGACACUGAGGUGCGAAAGCGUGGGUAGCAAACAGGAUUAGAUACCCUGGUAGUC
rnacentral:rRNA from 1 species